rnacentral:rRNA from 1 species
UACGAAGGGGGCUAGCGUUGCUCGGAAUCACUGGGCGUAAAGGGCGCGUAGGCGGCCGUUCAAGUCGGGGGUGAAAGCCUGUGGCUCAACCACAGAAUGGCCUUCGAUACUGGACGGCUCGAGACCGGAAGAGGUCAGUGGAAUUGCGAGUGUAGAGGUGAAAUUCGUAGAUAUUCGCAAGAACACCAGUGGCGAAGGCGGACUGACUGGUCCGGUUCUGACGCUGAGGCGCGAAAGCGUGGGGAGCAAACAGG